AACUAAAACCAAAAAAGAGGUAAAUUAUUGUUAAUAAUUUUAAUGAAAAUAAAUUAUCUAGUUG
rnacentral:tRNA from 1 species